rnacentral:rRNA from 1 species
UACGUAGGGUGCAAGCGUUUGUCCGGAAUUAUUGGGCGUAAAGAGCUCGUAGGCGGUCAGUCGCGUCUGCUGUGAAAACUCGGGGCUUAACUCCGGGCCUGCAGUGGGUACGGGCUGACUAGAGUGCGGUAGGGGAGACUGGAAUUCCUGGUGUAGCGGUGAAAUGCGCAGAUAUCAGGAGGAACACCGGUGGCGAAGGCGGGUCUCUGGGCCGUAACUGACGCUGAGGAGCGAAAGCGUGGGGAGCGAACAGG